rnacentral:rRNA from 1 species
GUGUCAGCCGCCGCGGUAAUACAGAGACUGCAAGCGUUGUUCGGAUUCACUGGGCGUAAAGGGUGCGCAGGCGGCCAGAUGUGUCGGGUGUGAAAGCUCGAGGCUCAACCUCGAAACUGCGCCCGAAACUAUCUGGCUAGAGUACUGGAGAGGAAAGCGGAAUUCACGGUGUAGCAGUGAAAUGCGUAGAUAUCGUGAGGAACACCAAUGGCGAAGGCAGCUUUCUGGACAGUUACUGACGCUCAGGCACGAAAGCGUGGGGAGCAAAAGGGAUUAGAUACCCCGGUAGUCC